rnacentral:rRNA from 1 species
UACGUAGGGGGCAAGCGUUGUUCGGAAUUACUGGGCGUAAAGGGCGCGUAGGCGGCCCGCUAAGUCGGACGUGAAAUCCCCGGGCUCAACCCGGGAACUGCGUCCGAUACUGGCAGGCUUGAAUCCGGGAGAGGGAUGCGGAAUUCCAGGUGUAGCGGUGAAAUGCGUAGAUAUCUGGAGGAACACCGGUGGCGAAGGCGGCAUCCUGGACCGGCAUUGACGCUGAGGCGCGAAAGCCAGGGGAGCAAACGGG